GAUGAACGCUGGCGGCGUGCCUAAUACAUGCAAGUCGAGCGAACAGACGAGGCGCUUGCUCCUCUGACGUUAGCGGCGGACGUGUGAGUAACACGUGUAUAACCUACCUAUAUGACUGGGAUAACUUCGGGAAACCGGAGCUAAUACCGGAUAAUAUAUUGAACCGCAUGGUUCAAUAGUGAAAGUCGGUUUUGCUGUCACUUAUAGAUGGAUCCGCGCCGCAUUAGCUAGUUGGUAAGGUAACGGCUUACCAAGGCAACGAUGCGUAGCCGACCUGAGAGGGGGAUCGGCCACACUGGAACUGAGACACGGUCCAGACGCCUAAGGGAGGCAGCAGUAGGGAAUCUUCCGCAAUGGGCGAAAGCCUGACGGAGCAACGCCGCGUGAGUGAUGAAGGUCUUCGGAGCGUAAAACUCUGUUAUUAGGGAAGAACAAAUGUGUAAGUAACUAUGCACGUCUUGACGGUACCUAAUCAGAAAGCCACGGCUAACUACGUG
rnacentral:rRNA from 1 species